AUGAGUUGCAUAAGUUGGAACUGUCGGGGGCUUGGGAACCCCGAGGCAGUUCCAGAGCUUCGCAAUGUGGGGAAGCAAGAAGGGCCCGUGCUGGUUUUUGUCAUGGAGACGAAGAUCAGAGCAAAGAAAGUGGAGGAUCUGCGGCACACAUUAGGGUUUGCCGGCAGUUUUGCAGUUGAUAGCGAUGGCCUCAGUGGAGGCAUCGGUCUACUCUGGUCCAAUGAUGUGCAUGUAGAGCUCAAAAACUAUAGCGCUAGUCAUAUUGAUGUGAUAGUGCGGGAAACAUCAGCGGACUCAGCAGGUUGGCGAUUCACAGGGUUCUACGGAGCACCAAGAGCAACAGAUCGUCACCAUAGUUGGAGAUUCCUUCGAGCCCUACAUGGCAUUCCUCAUGAUUUAUGGCUUUGUGUCGGGGACUUCAAUGAAACCCUAUAUCCCCAAGAACACUUUAGUCGCUCCCCUCGGGCCGAGUGGAAGAUGAGGGCGUUUCGUGAAGUUGCAGAUGACUGUGAGUUCCAAGACCUAGGUUGGUCCAGAGUUGCAUACACAUGGGACAACCAUCAGGCGGGGGACGCAAAUGUCAAAGCCAGGGUUGACAAAGCUUUUGCAAACGAGCAAUUCAGGCAAAGGUUCGAACACACACGAGUUCGACAUGUGUGUGUGGUGGAGUCGGAUCACUGCUUUGUUAUCACAGAGUUUAGGCAUCACGCGCAUACGCAUCGUUCGCCGGGAGCCAGACAAUUUCGUUAUGAAAACGUUUGGUAG
rnacentral:rRNA from 1 species